rnacentral:rRNA from 1 species
UACGGAGGGAGCUAGCGUUGUUCGGAAUUACUGGGCGUAAAGCGCGCGUAGGCGGCUUUGUAAGUUAGAGGUGAAAGCCCGGGGCUCAACUCCGGAACUGCCUUUAAGACUGCAUCGCUUGAAUCCGGGAGAGGUGAGUGGAAUUCCGAGUGUAGAGGUGAAAUUCGUAGAUAUUCGGAAGAACACCAGUGGCGAAGGCGGCUCACUGGACCGGUAUUGACGCUGAGGUGCGAAAGCCAGGGGAGCAAACGGG